GACGCCCGAGCACUGCAGCUCGUCUCUAGCCUCAACACAAGCACGAGCCCAUGCAAGAAAAUGUAUCAUCGACCGGAUCCAAACUCCUCGCAACAGGGAGUGCGCAUAAGCUUCCGCGACACGAGCUCAGGCAAUACAAUUGAAUGACAUGCCCUCGCAGUGCAACAUCUGCCUAAUAACACGCCCAAGCUCGGAGAUCAUCUCCAGCCUUAACAUAAGCAUACGUCCGUGCAAG
rnacentral:lncRNA from 1 species